AACCGUCGGUCUCUCCCAUUCCUCUCUCACAAAAUUAAUUCCCAAAUUGAAAAUUAAACAGACUCUAGCCUCCUCUCCCUCUUUCUCCUCGGCGAAGACGCCGAUCCACCGCCAGCCGCCAGACCCUUGACCGAGGUCGGCCGGUGCCGCCGUUGUCACGCAACCAGCCCCGCCAUUGCCGUCUCCGAGUGCUUCUCGGUGUCAACACUGCUCACAUGCCGGCACAUAGCACCGUCGCCGUCAGCUCUCCUCCGGGUCUCGGCUGCACGUGGUGCGCAACGGCCAGAGUCGCCGCUGUCACAGAGACCUCGCCGUCUUCAUUGCUGGACUCCCGCCACCGCCUCCGUCAAUCCCCAGCGCCGCCGUCGCCCUCUCUCUUUCUCCAUCCAUCCGUCUCUCUUCUCUUCCUCUUCCCUCACUCCCUCUUUCUUUCUCGGAUCUGCCGCCGCCGCCACUGUGCAUACACAGACAGCGGCUUUGGCCUCCUCGGUGCCUCGUACUGCCGGAGCAGCUUCCCGGCCGCUGCAUCCUCACCAACUCCCGAGAGAUUUGUGAUGGUGGUGAAAUCAGUGAUGAAUCGGGGUGUAGGGCUGCCACCGUCGGAAACGGCGUGCCAAAACUCAGUCACCGGAAUUCCGGCAGAUUCCUAUUCUGGGGAUAAGUUUCUUGACUUGUGUUUACUAUGGUUGUAAGACUUGGAUUGACUAUUAUAUGGAUUUGGUGAUUCUUGAAUAAUGUGUUGCUACUUGGAAGACCCAUGUGUAACAUGUUAAUCUCACUGUGUUGUUAACAUUGGGAAGAUUCUAUGUUUGCCUAUAUGUGAUGUGUCAAUAUGUGGGAAGACUGAGGUGGAGGUUACCUUCUUGAAGAGUAGUUGCUGUUCUUGAGUUUCUCGUCUCUAGAAUUUGAAAUUCUCUUACUUCCUCCCUGAUUCGUUGUUGAAAAAGUUGGGGAAAAAGAUGAGCUUGAGUUUUAACAUAGAGGGUUUGUGAAGAGGGGAAGAAUGGUGUUACCUAUGGGGAGUGGGAAUUGCCUGCAGGAACUCUGCAGAGACUCUUCUCCCAAACACUCACUCUCAAACUUGCUACUUGGCUGAAGAUUUCGAGCAAGAGGGGGAGGGGUUUUGGAGGUGGUGUGGGGGUUCUUAUAGGAAAAGAGUGUAUACUUGUGAGGGAAUUAAAUGGGCUGUUGUAUUCCUUGUUCUCUUCCUGCAGCCCAUUUAAUUCCCUCACAAGUACACACUCUUUUCCUAUAAGAACCCCCACAUCUGUUGUAUUCCUUGUUCUCUUCCUGCAGCAAAUUCCUUUUUUUUUUAUGAUUCUGCAGCAAACUUUAACUGGAAAUUGUUGUUUGUACUAGGAGGUAAGGACUCUUGUAUUUAUGUUAUUUGUCAGAGUGUACAAGCUGAGGCUGCAGGGAUUUGUUGGGAGUUUAGGAGCUGCUGCAAGCUGCUGCCAGGCUGCCCCUUUUGCUUGUUGCAGCAAAUCUGACCUUGCCCCUUUUGGCAAGUCCUUUGGUCCUCAUUAAAAAGGUUCUUCUAUUCAAAGGAGGAAGAGAAGAUUGGGCUGCCUAUGGGUUGCUGAUAGCUCUCGGCCAGCAGGCUGCACUCACGGGCAUCGAAAAGAGGGUGGCUUGGGCUCGUAAAGAAUAGACUCGAGGCAUUUCCAUUUUGACAUUCAUAUGUAUUGUUCUUAUUUUUUGUAAGCUAAGCCAUAGCUUGGAAUGUAACAACAUUGUAUUUUGUUUCCUAAAGGAAUAAACGAACGCGUAUAUAUUCUUAAUUCAAAA